rnacentral:rRNA from 1 species
GUAGGGAAUAUUGCACAAUGGGGGAAACCCUGAUGCAGCGACGCCGCGUGAGUGAUGAAGGCCUUCGGGUCAUAAAGCUCUGUCGUAUGGGACUAACACAAUCAAGGUACCAUGCAAGAAAGGAUCGGCUAACUUCGUGCCAGCAGCCGCGGUAAGACGAGGGAUCCUAGCGUUGUUCGGAAUCAUUUGGCGUAAAGCGGGUGUAGGCGGAUUUAUAAGUCAGGUGGGAAAGCCCAGGGCUCAACCCUGGAAGUGCAUUUGAUACUGCUGAGCUUGAGUGUCGGAGAGGUUACCGGAAUACCUGGUGUAGUGGUGAAAUACGUAGAUAUCAGGUGGAACACCGGAGGCGAAGGCGGGUAACUGGACGAACACUGACACUGAGGCCCGAAAGCGUGGGGAUCAAACAGGAUUAGAAACCCCUGUAGUCC